rfam:Proteobacteria bacterium SG_bin8 5304, whole genome shotgun sequence.
AGCGCGUUCGGUGCUCUCGAUCCCCGAGAGUGAAACGGGAAUGUGGUGCGGCUUUCCAGACAGGGAAAGCCUAUCCCUCAGCUGCCCCCGCAACUGUAAGUGGCGCAAGGUCGAUCCGGUAACCACUGGUCCAAGACGGGCUGGGAAGGUGGAUCAAAGCCAAGCCGCGAGCCAGGAGACCGGCCGAGACGCGUGUCAUCAA